AGGACUAAGCCAUGCGAGUCAACGUAGCAAUACGUGGCAUACGGCUCAGUAACACGUAGUCAACAUGCCCAGGGGACGUGGAUAACCUCGGGAAACUGAGGAUAAACCGCGAUAGGUCAUAAUGUCUGGAAUGAUUUAUGGCUAAAAUCUACAUGGCCCCUGGAUUGGACUGCGGCCGAUCAGGCUGUUGGUGAGGUAAUGGCCCACCAAACCUAAAACCGGUACGGGCUCUGAGAGGAGAAGCCCGGAGAUGGGCACUGAGACAAGGGCCCAGGCCCUAUGGGGCGCAGCAGGCGCGAAAACUCUGCAAUAAGCGAAAGCUUGACAGGGUUAUUCUGAGUGAUUUCCGCUAAGGAGAUCUUUUGGCACCUCUAAAAAUGGUGCAGAAUAAGGGGUGGGCAAGCCUGGUGUCAGCCGCCGCGGUAAUACCAGCACCCCGAGUGGUCGGGACGAUUAUUGGGCCUAAAGCAUCCGUAGCCGGUUCUACAAGUCUUCCGUUAAAUCCACCUGCUUAACAGUUGGGCUGCAGAGGAUACUAUAGAGCUAGGAGGCGGGAGAGGCAAGCGGUACUUAGUGGGUAGGGGUAAAAUCCGUUGAUCCACUGAAGACCACCAGUGGCGAAGGCGGCUUGCCAGAACGCGCUCGACGGUGAGGGAUGAAAGCUGGGGGAGCAAACCGGAUUAGAUACCCGGGUAGUCCCAGCUGUAAACGAUGCAGACUCGGUGAUGAACAGGCUUCGUGCCUAUUCAGUGCCGCAGGGAAGCCGUUAAGUCUGCCGCCUGGGGAGUACGGUCGCAAGACUGAAACUUAAAGGAAUUGGCGGGGGAGCACCACAAGGGGUGAAGCCUGCGGUUCAAUUGGAUUCAACGCCGGAAUCGUC
rnacentral:rRNA from 1 species